UUUCCCGCCCGCUCUGCGCUCACUCGUCUUCUGUUCUGCUGCGCAGAGCGCCGCUGUGUCGCUGAGCGCAGUGGUGCAUUGGAGGACACUGGUCGGGAUCUCUGUCGCUCGCGAAUGCGGCACAGCACGCACGAGAGGACUGGUGCGGUGCGAGACAGAUGUCAUUUCCCCCCUUUCUCCCCACUCCUGCAUGCUUGCUUUUGGAUCCACCACCAGCGUAGAGAUUGGACUCUGUUUUACAGAAAUGUAAUCAAUUCAAUUCCUACCAACAAGUCAGAAUCAGAAUUCUGCUUAUUCCCCACUUUGAACUCUUGGUUCCACAGAGGAACAGAUGUGCCUGAGCCCACUAGGGUACCAUAGAACACAUUCAAAGGAUGUAGGGAUGAGAUUCUGUCUUCUCCCCCCUGCAUCCUUGAGAAUUCAAAAAUAAGACUGUUCUGCUCUGCAAAACUAGCAGAACUAACUCUGGAACCCAUAGACGUGUGCCAGGUGUGCUCAGGCACACCCUAAUGCAGGGCAGAGCUCUAGGGGGGCGGGGCAGUGUGUCUGGCUCCGCGCUGAGCCAAACGCUGCUAGGAGCCUCAUGGUUAGGGGGGCUAGGGGGUUGGAUAAGGGGCGGGGGCAGUAAGAGGACAGGGAGCAGGGUGGGUUGGAUACAUAGGCGGUGAGAUGGGCCGUGGUGCCCAUUCUCCACAGUUCAGCAACGUGGGGUGGGGCGCUCUCACCUCGGGGGCAGCUCCCCCAUCCCCGGCGUCCCCGCAGGCAGCGAAGAGUCUCGGCAGAGGCAGGGAAGCUCUGAACGCUGCCUCCGUCCCCUCUCCCAGAGCUGACCUGGUUCCCAGCCCAUUGGGAGCUGUGGGGGAGGAGGUUGCCAGAGCUGCCUGACCGCACCUCCCCAGCAGGGAGGGGGAGGGAGCUGCAGGCAGAGAGCAGCAGGAGUCUGUCACUGUCAUACACAGAUGGGGGGGGGGAGGCAUUGUGGGGGCAGACAAACAGAUGGAGCUGGGGGCAGGAGAAAGGAGCAGCGAUGCACCCUGGGGCUGGCAUAAAAUACACAGUACAGAGGGGGCUUCCUUGGGGGGAUGGGGGGAGGUAGGUAUAGCAACACUCCCUUCCCUCACAGACCAGACUUGGGCUGCAGCUGGCUCUGUCAAUCACUCCUCCUCCCCCCCCCCCCCCAACCCACACAGAGACCCACACAACCCUCUGCCCCCCGGAAGAUCCCCUCCAGCCCCUAUGCCUCCAUCACCCCCUCCAGAGAGCCCCCCUUUGUGCCUCCCGAGACAGCUCCCCUACCUCCCCUGCUCCCUACAAUCUUCCCCUUUGCCUUCCCCCUCCUGCCCCCAGCUCAUUGGCCAGGAGGCUUCCAGACUGUUGGCCACCAAGGCCAAUGGGAGCUGCACCUGAGGUAGGGGGCCUGCUUGCAGAUGCAGACCUGCCCGGCUGUGCCUCCAGCUGCACGGGGAGGGGGAGCCACAGGGCAAGCAGGCUUCUCUGUCUAAACAAGAAGAACGGUGCCAUAACCGAAGUGUAAUGGAGCAACUGAUUGACAUUGUUCUGUGUUUGGUGAAAGAUGGGAGACCAUUCAGGGGUCACAAUGAAAAAGCUGACAGUUUUGAGAGAGAUUUAUUUCUAAAUCUUGUCAAUAUGCUCCAAAAAUAUGAUCCUGUAAUGGCAAAGGAUGUGCAACAAUCUCCUCGAAACACUACCUAUCUGAGUAAUCGCAUCCAAAAUGAAUUAAUUGUGGCCUUGCACAACGUUGUGCAACAAAAGAUUGCAUCUUCACUAAAUGGAAAAAUGGUCUCAAUAAUUGCAAACGACACUACUGACUGUGGACACCAUGAACAGAUGUCCGUUGUGAUGCAGUAUUUUUGACAAUGAAAAACAUAGUCCAGUUGAACAUUUUGUGUCUGUUCAGAGACUAUUAACAGUUGAUGCUCAGUCUAUUUUUGACCAGUUAAAUGACGUCCUUGUCAUUCUUAAAAUUGACUGGUCAUCAGUGAUGUCCGUCUGUUUUGAUGGCGCAUCUACUAUGUCUGGAUGUACUGCGGGAGUUCAAAUGAAAUGUAAAGAAAGAAACAGUGAAAUACUCUAUGUACACUGCUAUGCGCAUUGUUUGAACCUCAUCCUAGUAGAUGCAUGCACUUCAAGUAAACAAAACAGAGCUGUCUUGAUUUUUUUUUGGUGUUAUUCAGACUCUUUAUGCCUUCGUGGAGGGGAAUCCUGUGCGACAUGCAGUAAUGGAGAAGAUUUCACAAGAAGUAGGAUCCCAGUUGAAGACUUUGAAGUCACUAUCAAACACAAGAUGGGCAUGCAGAGCAGAAGCAGUGGCUGCUGUAAAACAAAACUACUCCAUCAUUUUACAAGCUUUACAAGAGAUUAUUGAAACAACUCGCCUUGCUGACCCUAAAAUAAAAGCCAGGGGCCUUAUCCAUGAACUAAAUUCAUUCAAGUUCAUCUUUGCCCUUCACAUGAUGCACCCUAUUCUCCAGAUCGUGGUAAAAGUGAGUAAGGCUCUUCAAGCUCCAGAUCUCAACUUACUUACUGCAAUGACGGGUGAAAAGCUUGCGUAACUCUUUGGCUGCGAUGAGAAGUGGCCAGAAUAUUUUCAAUCUGUUUUCAAUGACAGUGUGAAAAUGUGUGUAGAGAAUGAUAUAUCGAUUCCCCCAGUUAAGAAGAGAAAAAUGUCCACUCAUUUUGAUGAUGCGUUUGAGUCCCAGCAUCACUUUGAUACAAAAGAGGAGCAGGAGAGAAUAUCUUCUUUUUACCCACUCCUAGACUCAGUGAUUACCGGCAUUGACCAGCGAUUUGAACAGGAGACUUGUAAAAUUGUGACUGCAAUGGGAAAACGGCUGAGCUUAGACAUUGGCAGGGAUGAUAUGAGAAUCCUUGCCAACAAAUUUAAAGUGUCCCUGGAUGAGUUGGAAGCUGAAGUUGGAUUGCUUCGGGGUUAUGACGGAUCUGUUCCUAAAGGUAGCACUACGAUCACCACCAGAGAGUGGCUUGAUUGGCUAAAGGAAUCGGAUCGGUCUUCCAUGUUCCAGGCCUUUUACAAAUCUAUUCAAUUCUUUGCAGUCUUACCUGUUACAAGCUGUUCAUGUGAAGGAGCCUUUUCAAAACUAGCACAUGUAAAAAACAAACUAAGAAGUACAAUGUCCCAACAGCACCUCGACUCACUCAUGAUUUUGUACAUUGAACAAGAAUUGGCUUCGUCAGUUAAUUACAAUGAUGUGAUUGAGGAAUUUAAGUCCAUAACACCUGGUGAGCAACGUCUCAUUCUCUAGGACAGGAAGAUGAAGAAACCUUAAUCUGUUUUGGACAAUUUGGGUUAGCUCAUUAUCUGGUUAAAGAUAAAGAUCAUGAAAAUUGACUAUCUUUUGUAUACGCCUAAUUAUCACGACAGCAAAAAAUUGGUAUUUUGUCUCAUUUUUUAAGUUUGUAUUUUUUAAGUAAAGUUUUUAGUUGUUAAUUUAAAAAAAAGUUUAGUUAAGUUUUAGUUUCUUUAGUUUGCUUGAUGAAUAAAAAUAAUGUCCUUUUA